rnacentral:rRNA from 1 species
CCUACGGGUGGCAGCAGUGGGGAAUAUUGCUCAAUGGGCGAAACGCUGAUGCAGCGACGCCGCGUGAGUGAAGAAGUAGUUCGUUAUUUAAAGCUUUAUUAGUAGGGAAGAAAAUGACGGUACCUGAGUAAGAAGCCGCGGCUAACUACGUGCCAGCAGCCGGGGUAAUACGUAGGGGGCAAGCGUUAUCCGGAUUUACUGGGUGUAAAGGGAGCGUAGGCGGCAGUGCAAGUCUGGAGUGAAAGGCGGGGGCUUAACCCCCGGACUGCUCUGGAAACUGUACGGCUGGAGUGCAGGAGAGGUAAGUGGAAUGCCUAGUGUAGCGGUGAAAUGCGUAGAUAUUAGGAGGAACACCAGUGGCGAAGGCGGCUUACUGGACUGUAACUGACGUUGAGGCACGAAAGCGUGGGGAGCGAACAGGAUUAGAUACCCUAGUAGUC